rnacentral:rRNA from 1 species
CCUACGGGUGGCAGCAGUGAGGAAUAUUGGUCAAUGGGCGCGAGCCUGAACCAGCCAAGUAGCGUGAAGGAUGACUGCCCUACGGGUUGUAAACUUCUUUUAUAAAGGAAUAAAGUGAGGCACGUGUGCCUUUUUGUAUGUACUUUAUGAAUAAGGAUCGGCUAACUCCGUGCCAGCAGCCGCGGUAAUACGGAGGAUCCGAGCGUUAUCCGGAUUUAUUGGGGUUAAAGGGAGCGUAGAUGGGUUGUUAAGUCAGUUGUGAAAGUUUGCGGCUCAACCGUAAAAUUGCAAUUGAUACUGCCUUGCUGGACUGCGGCUGCCGUUGGCGGAAUGUGUGGUGUAGCGGU